AAAGUCGUAACAAGGUUUCCGUAGGUGAACCUGCGGAAGGAUCAUUACAGUGCCUGCGGGGCCGCCGACGACCUCGGCGUUCCCCGCGCCUGGCCACCCGUGUCUACCUUACCUUCUGUUGCUUCGGCGGGCCCGUCCCCCCAGGGGGACCGCCAGGAGGGCAGCGUACCCACGCGCCACCCCCUCCCGGCCCGCGCCCGCCGAGGGACCCCCUGAACUUCUUGCGAAGAUAGUGUCGUCUGAGUCGAUUGGCAAUGAAACUAAAACUUUCAACAACGGAUCUCUUGGUUCCG
rnacentral:misc_RNA from 1 species